rnacentral:rRNA from 1 species
AGAGUUUGAUCCUGGCUCAGAACGAACGCUGGCGGCGUACUUAACACAUGCAAGUCGGACGAGAAAGGAGACUUCGGUCUCUGAGUACAGUGGCGCACGGGUGCGUAACACGUAAGUAAUCUACCCCGAACUCUGGGAUAACCCUCCGAAAGGAGGGCUAAUACUGGAUAGGGUCCCCGAGGUGUAGGCUGCGGGGGGAAAACGGGCCUCUGUUUCAUGCUCGUGGUUGGGGAUGAGCUUGCGGCCCAUUAGCUUGUUGGCAGGGUAACGGCCUACCAAGGCUACGAUGGGUAGCUGGUCUGAGAGGAUGAUCAGCCGCACUGGCACUGAGACACGGGCCAGACUCCUACGGGAGGCAGCAGUGGGGAAUUUUGCGCAAUGGGCGAAAGCCUGACGCAGUAACGCCGCGUGGAGGAUGAAGGCCUUCGGGUUGUAAACUCCUGUCAGGGGGAACGACGGAGCGAGGAGGAUAAAUCCUUGCUUCCAGACGGUACCUCCAAAGGAAGCCCCGGCUAAUUCCGUGCCAGCAGCCGCGGUAAUACGGAAGGGGCAAGCGUUGUUCGGAAUCAUUGGGCGUAAAGGGCGCGUAGGUGGUUCUGUAUGUCUAUCGUGAAAGCGUACGGCUCAACCGUAUUUUGUCGGUAGAAACUGCAGGACUUGAGGCUGGGAGGGGCUGGUGGAAUUCCCUGUGUAGCGGUGAAAUGCGUAGAGAUGGGGGAGAACACUCGUGGCGAAAGCGGCCAGCUAGACCAGUUCUGACACUGAGGCGCGACGGCGUGGGGAGCAAACAGGAUUAGAUACCCUGGUAGUCCACGCUGUAAACGAUGGGCACUAGGUGCCGGCGGUCUUGAUCCCGUCGGUGCCGGCGCUAACGCAGUAAGUGCCCGGCCUG